ACCAGAAAGCCACGGCUAACUACGUGCCAGCAGCCGCGGUAAUACGUAGGUGGCAAGCGUUGUCCGGAAUUAUUGGGCGUAAAGCGCGCGCAGGCGGCUUCUUAAGUCUGAUGUGAAAUCUCGGGGCUCAACCCCGAGCGGCCAUUGGAAACUGGGGAGCUUGAGUGCAGAAGAGGAGAGUGGAAUUCCACGUGUAGCGGUGAAAUGCGUAGAGAUGUGGAGGAACACCAGUGGCGAAGGCGACUCUCUGGUCUGUAACUGACGCUGAGGCGCGAAAGCGUGGGGAGCAAACAGGAUUAGAUACCCUGGUAGUCCACGCCGUAAACGAUGAGUGCUAGGUGUUAGGGGUUUCGAUGCCCUU
rnacentral:rRNA from 2 species